CUGCUUGCUCCUCCCUCUCAUCAAUCAAUGGCCUCAGAAAUUUAUACGAGAGCAUUGAUGAUUUGCUUCUCUUGCCUCACAUUCAACAGAUUGUUUCUGAGGAAUGUGUUGAUGGUUACAUCAACCUAUUGGAUUCUUGCAGCUCAGUUAAGGAUCUCAUCUCACUUUCCAAGCAAAAUUUAAGAGAGCUUUUGUCUGCUCUAAGGAGAAAGGAUGUUCGAGGCAUCAAUGGCUACCUUGCUUCCAGAAAAAGGUUAAAGAAAAUGAUCCAAAAGUGUUUAAAGAAUAUGAGACGUAGCAGCGCCUCAGCCUCUUCUGAGAAUGCUUCCAUGUUGACAGAUGCAGAGUCCGUUGCCAUUUCCUUGCUCGAGUCUCUUGGUCGUUGGUGUCAAAGCUGAUGCAGUCCAAGAAAGCAUCAGACGACGAGAAUGAGUUCAACAAUAAAAAGCAAUGGCUCUUCACCACAGCCGCUCUCUUAGCUUCCCAUCUGCAUCACAUCCUGCUGUUUCCCACUUCGAUGAAAACUUAUCAAGAUUGAGAUCUUCGGAGGCUGCUUGCUCCUCCCUCUCAUCAAUCAACGCCACAAUCAGAAGCUCCAACUGUGACAGCCCAUGUUUAAGGGAUUUCGACUUCAACGGUGAAUCUGCCAGUUUUUGUUUCCAGUUCAUUUUAAUAAGCCUACAAAUUGAACAGAAAAGAGUUAUAGCAUAUAUGAAAAUAUUAAGAUUAAAAAUCCAUAUCUAUUUUAUGCAUGAAUUUUCAGCCAAAGGGAAAUACAGGUUGGCUGCAAGAAUAUGAAGCCUCUACCUCAGACAAAAUGAAUUUAAAAAAAUAGAUUCUGCAGAUCUGUGCUUCUGUUUGAGGGUAUAUAAUAUGGACACUGCACGAAGAGCUGACCUUUAUUAAAAGAAAUGCACGUUGAAUCUCGCCUCGUUUCUCAUUCAUCACAAGCUCUCAUGGAGCUGCCAACUGUGUAAACUCUGUGCUGCAUAGAUAAUGAUGGAGCUUUGAUUGCUUAUUUUCAGACAAAUUAAUACAAUAUUCUCAUCAUAUGUUUCUUCACCAAGAGCAAACCCUGAAAUCUGCUCGUGCAUUACAUUAAAAUAAUUUCAAGAUAACUAUAUUUUAUGGCUGUUAUUUAUGGUCUGUCAUUGGGAAAAUAAUGCAGAUUCCUUAUGUCCUUUUCCUCACUAUAUAAUAAGCACAUAUAUUUUUGUUAGAUGCAUCACAAUUUUCUUGAUUCAAUUCCAAUUCUAAGCCUUACUUUCACCAAGUAAAAAAACAAAACAAUGGCUCCCUCACCUUUGAGAUCCAAGUCACUUAACCAUGGCCGCUCUCUUAGCUUCCCAUCUUCAUCACAUCCUGCUCCUACUCACUUCGAUGAGAACUUAUCCAGAUUGAGAUCUUCCGAGGCUGCUUGCUCGUCGCUCUCAUCCAUCAACCGCGCUGCAAAUGGCCUCAGAAACUUAUAUGAGAGCAUCGAUGAUUUGCUUCUCUUGCCUCACAUUCAGCAGAUCGUUUCUGAGGAGUGUGUUGAUAAUUACAUCAGCCUAUUGGAUGCUAGCAGCUCAGUUAAGGAUCUCAUCUCACUCGUGAAGGAAGAUCUACGAGAGCUUCUCUCUGCUGUAAGGAGAAAGGAUGCUCGAGGCAUAAACGGCUACCUUGCUUUAAGAAAGCAGUCGAAGAAAAAGAUCCAAAAGUGUUUGAAGAAGUUGAGACGUAGCAGCGCCUCAGCCUUUUCUGAGAAUGUUUCCAUGUUGAAAGAUGCAGAGUCAGUUGCCAUUUCCUUGCUCGAGUCUCUCUUGUCCUACACGUUGGGGAUGACAAUGCAAGAAAGCAUCAGACGACGAGAAUGAGUUCAACAAGGUGGAUUCAUUCCUGCAACUGAAUCAAGAAAACGAGCUCGUGAAUCACUUGAAAGAGAUGGACUCGAGCAUUCAAGUUGUUGAAGAAGAACUUGAAUCGGUAUUCAGGCAGAUGAUCAAGACCAGACUUUCCCUUCUCAACAUUCUCAACAACUAGAGAUUGAAAAUUUUGUAACUAGUACAUGAAUAUAUAUACUUGUAUAUAUCAAAUUGAUUCACAAGGAUCAUUACAAUACAAUCAGAAAAUUUUCUGCUACAUUCUUGUUCAAUAUCCUGAUAUUAGUAUAUGCUUAAUUUAUCUAUUCAUUCUUAUUGUUGACUUGAAUAUACAAGAUGACAUAUCAAUACAACAAGAUUUACAGCAUCAUACUAUGUUCAUAACUAACAAGAUUUAUAUCUUACAUGUCUACUAACAAAGUUCUAAUAUUAUCUUAUUCAGUUUGUAAUAAUAUUCUCUCCCUCAUUCUAUAUAAAAUCAACAGCUACAUGACUAUCAAAUCAACAGCUACAAGAUAACUGAGCUCUAAAAUACUAUCUAAACUGAUGUCUUCGACAUUUACAGAAAUCAUCUCAAGGUGAUAUCUAAACUGAUGUCUUCGACAUUCAGUUUGCUACAUUUUCUUUUUCAGUUAACAUAAUUAUUUUAGAUAUUUAAAUGCCUAAUUUAUUCUAAUAGGAGAUAUUCGAAGUUCCCAAAGAUGCAGACCAUUGGAUUUUGUUGUCUAUAGGCAAAAAGAGGAGACAUUGGAAAUCUAGAGUCAAAGGUGGGUCUUUUGUUCCUACAUUAGCGAUCGAGAAUCAGGCCCACAAUAGACCUAUUCGGGUACAUGAAGAUCAGUGGAAGAAUUUGUUAUCAUAUUGGGCAAAAGAAGAUGUACAGGUAUAUAAAUUUUGACGCAUUAGUUUAUUCACAUAUUAUUCAACUAACUUCUAGUUUUCAGGAAAUAAGUGAUAAAAAUAGAGAUCAUAGAAAGUGUUCUUCUAUGCAACAAACUACUGGAAAGAUAAGUUUUGCCGAAGUUGAGGAAGAGUUGGUAUGAUUUUAUUUCUUUAUUGUUGAGCUAUUUUACAUUACCAACAAAUGAACGUAUUAGCAUGUUAAUUUCUUUUUGCAGAAAGAAAAAUUGGGUCGAUCCCCAUCACGUGUCGAGAUGUUUGAAGCUUGUUACACUGAUCUCAGUGGUAACCCAUCAUCCGAUGAAGUUGGAGUUGCACUGGUAAGAUUAAAUUUUAAAGAUAGUCAUAAAAAGUCAAGUUUUAUAUGUUAAAACUUACAAGUUAAAUGUUUUUUAUAAACUGACAUGACAGGGAGAAAUGAAAGAAAUUCAAUCUAAAUUUUCAACUGAUUUCCAAGAUUCAGUUGGACCAAGUGACACAUUUUCUAGAGUUAUGGGCAAAGAACCCCGUGGUAGAGUACGAAUGAUUGGUUUAGGUGUUAACCCUUCUGACAUAUCAGGUGGUGUUCCUAGUCGUAGUGAGUGUUAUCGAAUGUUUUUGGAAAAUCAAGAAGCGCUGGUAAGAAUGGAAGAAAAAGUAAACGCAGCGACAACUCUGAUUGCAAGUUUAACAAAAAAAUGCAGCAGAAUACUAGUUUUUCUACAGGACAGCAACCUACAUCUCCGAGUCAGUCGUCCAACUCAGUAAAUAUAGGACACUCUUUUCAGGUAUAUUCUUUUUAUUUUGAGCCUGAUUAAUUUAGUCAUCAAUAAUCAGUUGUUAUAUUAUGGGAGAGAGUUGUGUGCCUGCUUUUAUCAUUAUUUGCUCUCCUACCUCUGUCUUUGCUUUUACUGAUUUUGUUUCCUCCUAAAACUGAGUUUCAGCCCAAUAUAUUGUAGUGUUGGUUGUUGUAAAAGUCAUGUAGCUAUUGAGAUAAAAUAAAUGUUCUAUUAGUGGCUAAUUUAGGACAUGCAUUUCAGGUUGGGGAUGAGGUGCUUUUGAAAAGCUUAUUCAAUUCUAGAAAAGCUGUGGCAAAAGGUCGUAUUCGUAGUGUUGAUCCAAAUCAAGAAGUUGGAGGAAAACGACUUGGACUACAAUGGUGUGAAGUUCAAGUUUCAGUUCCAAUAGAAUGGGAUGAAGAACUAAUUAGGCCGUAUUCGAAUUUGUCUACAAUUGGAGACGCAAUCGGAACAUGCGUUGCAUGGCCUCACCACUUGGUAAUCAUCUUUAUUUGUCUAUGUUGUUGAUUAUGUUGGUAUGCUUGUUCUAUUUUAAAAUAUAAUUGAUAGCAUUGCCAAGAAAAUGCACCUGUAUUUUUUGUUGCAGCAGAUAGCAGUUAACAUAUUUCAACACCACAAAAUUGACAUUUAAUAUUCCAGUUAACAUGUUGUUAUCUCUGUCUCCUUCAUCACAACCAUACAGUACUUCUCCCAAUUUGUCUACAAUUCUAAUGAUUUUUUCUCUUACAAAUUUAGGUGAAAGCCGAUGAUUUGGAUUGAUGAGAUGCUGAAAUAGCUUUAAAAGUGAAGCCUAGCUAGAGGUCUCAUUCUAAAAGAAAGUGAACUGAUGAGCAGAAACUCAUUCUAAAACAAUUGAUAUCAAUAUAGACAAUAUGUAAUAAGCUUUUUACUCAUGAUUGAGUAGCUAUUCCUUCAACAGAAUAUUCAUUAGUGAUGUUUGAAAUUUUAGAUUUGAAAUAAAGCAUUUUAUAUUGGGAUUGAUCUCAUAUUUUAAAAGCAUUAGUUAUAACAUUAUUUCCAUAUUAUAAUUGUAUUUUAAAAGCCUACUAGCAUCCUAAAAUAAGGGACUGCAAUCAUCCCAGAAUAGGACAGAAAAAAAAGUCCUAUUAUGUAUUUUGUGGUAAACCUUUAAUAGGACUCUCCUGAGUGUCCUAAACUAAGUGUCCCAGAAUAGGACAUGCGCAUGCGUCCUAUUACACAUAUUGUGACUAGCGCAGAUAGGACUCAUUUCGGGAGAGUCCUAUACGAGGGAAAGUCCUAUUAUAUUGCAUAAUAGGACACUUAUGAGAGUCCUAUAAAGAGAUUUUUGUUGUAGUGCCUGAAAUAACAUGCAUCAAUCAAGUAUAGUCGGGUGAUUUCUUCUUCACAUCACAAGCACAUUUCCAAAAGUGGAAACAUAUAAGAAUAACCCAUUUGUUAAAGUUUGCUACACUACAUACCAACUUUCUGAAAUUGAUACACUAGCUACCCUUUUUAAUUUUUUGUCAUUUAUUAAUUGUAAAUCAAAUUAUUUCAAGUACAAUAUGGAUAUCAGCUGUAAAUAUACAAGUCCUAUGAGAAAACAAAGAAUAGCGAAGUUGCAAAAAGCAAGCAGUAACAUAUAAGAUGAAGGCAUGAGUUCUUACUUCAGUGGCAGCUAGUUUCUUUACAUC
rnacentral:lncRNA from 1 species